rnacentral:rRNA from 1 species
UACGUAGGGGGCAAGCGUUGUCCGGAAUCAUUGGGCGUAAAGCGCGUGUAGGCGGCCUUGUAAGUCCGUUCUGAAAGUCCGGGGCUCAACCCCGGGAGGCGGAUGGAUACUGCAAGGCUCGAGUCCGGAAGAGGCAAGUGGAAUUCCCGGUGUAGCGGUGAAAUGCGCAGAUAUCAGGAGGAACACCGAUAGCGAAGGCAGCUCGCUGGGACGGUACUGACGCUGAGGCGCGAAAGCGUGGGGAGCGAACAGG